rnacentral:misc_RNA from 1 species
GGGACUACUCGGGUUUCUAAUCCUGUUUGCUCCCCACGCUUUCGUGCCUCAGUGUCAGGAACGUUCCAGAGAGCCGCCUUCGCCACCGGCCUUCUUCCCGAUCUCUACGCAUUUCACCGCUACACCGGGAAUUCCGCUCUCCUCUCCCGUCCUCUAGCUAGGCAGUCACCUGCGACCUUCUGGGGUUAAGCCCCAGGCUUUCCCACAGAUCUUAUCUAACCACCUACGCACGCUUUACGCCCAGUAAAUCCGAACAACGCUCGCCACCUCUGUCUUACCGCGGCUGCUGGCACC